rnacentral:rRNA from 1 species
GAUGAACGCUGGCGGCGUGCCUAAUACAUGCCAGUCGAGCGAACAGACGAGGAGCUUGCUCCUCUGACGUUAGCGGCGGACGGGUGAGUAACACGUGGAUAACCUACCUAUAAGACUGGGAUAACUUCGGGAAACCGGAGCUAAUACCGGAUAAUAUAUUGAACCGCAUGGUUCAAUAGUGAAAGACGGUUUUGCUGUCACUUAUGGAUGGAUCCGCGCCGCAUUAGCUAGUUGGUAAGGUAACGGCUUACCAAGGCAACGAUGCGUAGCCGACCUGAGAGGGUGAUCGGCCACACUGGAACUGAGACACGGUCCAGACUCCUACGGGAGGCAGCAGUAGGGAAUCUUCCGCAAUGGGCGAAAGCUUGACGGAGCAACGCCGCGUGAGUGAUGAAGGUCUUCGGAUCGUAAAACUCUGUUAUUAGGGAAGAACAAAUGUGUAAGUAACUAUGCACGUCUUGACGGUACCUAAUCAGAAAGCCACGGCUAACUACGUG